GUCCCCAUAGUCUAACGGUUAGGACGCGGCCCUUUCAAGGCUGAGACACGGGUUCGAUUCCCGUUGGGGGCACCA
rnacentral:tRNA from 1 species